rnacentral:lncRNA from 1 species
ACUUGCAUACAAAGACUUCCAAAUUAGGUCAAAUUCGUGCCUACUGCUGUCGGUCUUCUAGAGGUAUUCAGUUUUUAGUAAAACCUAAUUAUGUUGGGCUUAAGUUGUAGCUUGGACCAAGACCUUUAGUUUGAUAGCUCAUGGGCCCAAAUCAGACUUCUGGAUGUUGUAGAGCCUUUUUAAGAUUAGACUUUAAAUAGGGUAUAAAAUAGAAAUUCUGACUUGUGGGCUUCAAUAGGACCCGGUUUGGGCUGACAUUUGGACCGCCCCACUUUGACAUAAAGUCAAGUCAACUGGUCUGACUGUGGGGUGCCCUCAGCAGAUUUGUGGGUGCAAAUAUCAAUUCUCCUUCUCUUGUGCAAAUAACACCUUUUUGCUUGCUUUUCUUGACUUUUGGCGGGCUUUAACACAAUAUUCGCAUUUCGGCUCAUGAACCCUACACAAUAGACAAGAAAAUCACUAAUCAAUAGAUAUAACACAAUAAUAUAAGCUAAGUGCUAGACAAACAAGGUGUUAUUCAGGGGAUAAAUAUAUACUUUUGAGGACUUAUCAGGAUGCACUUAAGAAACGAUUGGAUAAAGCAAAAGGCAACUGGAUAAGUCCAGCAAGAUUCCAGGCCAACAGAACCCACAGUUCUAGUUCGCUGGAGAAGAUAAAGAAAGACCCGAGUUGAACCAGAACCUAUCAGAAGAUGCCAUGUGGCAGUCGUCCUUGUCAAAGGGGAUUCAAAUCGAGGGGUAACCGCCAAACAACAUGUGUGCUAUCUCCCUGGGAGCAUUUUCACAGUUUGAACUGCCCGAGUUCAUGGAGUCAAAAUCGGAUGAGUGGUUGAGCCAGUCUCCUCCAGUCCACUAUAAAUGUAGGAAUUCUCAACCUCCUGAACUACGAGUUUUCCACCAAGCAACCUCCAUUACAGCUUUGUGGAAGCAGAGACUUGAUUCCAAGUUCAUCAUCUUGGAUACGUAGGCAGCCUGAUCUCAUCAGGUCCAGUCUGAUUAUAUACCCCCAUCCCAUCUCAGUCUGUACAAUGCUUUCAUUGUAACCUUACGAAUAACCAAUACAAAUCUCGAGUUUGUGGAUCAAAUUUUUGCACUCACAUACCCUAUUGGCAAUACCGCAAUGACAAUGAUAUUGAUGUCAUAGAGAAUUACCUUUACAAUUUUGGACCUUGCACCUUUUCCUUGUACCCAACUCAAUUACCUGUUACACCCACUAUCCCUCUUCCUAUUAAUAUUGCUACUACAGCUUUAUGGAUUAUGAGGAUUUUGUUGGGUUAUGAGAAGUUGGAGUAUGCUGAUGAGUGUAUUGACCCCCCUUAACGGGCUUAAGCCCAAGUCAAUUACAAGUCAAAGCCCAAGACUUUAAUCAAUAAGAGCCUAAGCCCAAUUCAGUUAGUAAUAAGACUUAGGCCCGUUACUACAUUCAAUAUCAAUUAUGGGCUUUAUCUAUUUUAAGUCCAUUAUAUUUAAUAAGGUUAAUAUGGUAAUUCUACAUCUUUAUAGAGAUUUCCUUAACCUAAUCCAACUACAACUCAAAUAUGUCUACAACUUCUAAUCCAAUUACAACUCAUGUUCGUAAUAGGACAUGGGGUACAUUAUCUUGUCAUUAUAUGGUCCAAAUACAUGGGACUACAAUACAUUAAGGAUCAUGGGAUCACAUCUAAAUCCUAAUCAAACUCUAUAAUUGAACUACGUAAAAAGGUUUGAUUUCAUCUCUCUUAUCGAUACGUAGGCAACUAAGAAGCAACUUAGUGCAACCAUCUUCAAUAACUAAAACCCUUUCUCCUUCAUUUUUAUCUUCUCCAAUACCUUACAUCACAACAUUAGGGGUUUCUUUUUUAUUCUACAUCAUAUUGGUGUGAAAUCCGGUUGAAACACUUUGGCGCCAACUGAGGUUUUCUUUCCCCCACAAAAACCUACUUUUCAAAAAGAAUCAAGCUCUUUCUUCUCAAUGGAAACAACUAGAUCUCAAUACAACAAGCAAGAUCGCUCUCAAGAUUCCAACUCUAAAGAGCAUACCAUCACUUCCAAGAGAGUUCCAUCUAAUGGCGAAGAACACUCGGUUUCUUCUUCUUCUUCUCAACCAUUAAAAUCCAAGGAGCCUACUCAACAUGAAGAAGUUAUGAUUUCUGAAAACGAAUACUUACGCCGUAAACUCAAAAGGCUUCAAAAUAGAAACAAUGGUCUUCGGAGGAAGUUGAAACAUGCGAAUCACAAUGAUAAUGAGUGUUCGUCAAUUCCAUCUUCUUCAAGCAUUUUUGAUGAGUUGGGAGUCAAUCCAAAUCCAAGGAAAAGAACUCGACCUUCAACCAUCUCGGAAUUUGAAGAGGACAUUGAAGAUGACAUUGUAUUAUCAUCACAAGAACAAUCCCAAGUUAACUUGGAGAAAGAAGAUGAAUACCGACAUCACCAUUGCACCAAAGGAGUCAAGGCAACCUUCCUAGUAGGUAUUACUACACACCAUACUGCGAAAAUGUUGCCUGGAAGACCCCCAGCUAGUGCCCGAGAUAAAGCUAAUACACUCUCCACAAGAGUACCCAACAACUAUGUGCAUGACAAAAGUCCCCACCAUGGCUUCCCCAGUGGCUAUGAGCAUAACAUAACUCACACAAAGGCCAUGCCCAACGGCUAUGAGCAUGACAGAACUCACACGAAGGCCAUGCCCAGCGGCUAUGAGAAUGACAAGACCAACAAGAAGGCCAUGCCCAGCGGCUAUGAACAUGACAAGCCUCACAACAAGACCUUGCCCAGCGGCAGUAGGCAUGACAGACCCCCAACUACACCAUCUCCAGCGGCUGUACACUCAAUAGUCCUCCAAAAAGCCCUUUGUCCAACGGCAGUGUGUCCAACAGUCUCAAAAACAGGUCAUGGUCCAAAGGCUAUGCUCCGGACUACUCUAAUAGAGACUUGAUUCGAAUGCCCAAUCAUCACCACUUACGUCGGGAAACCUCCCCCGGACGUAGGGACACACACCACAAAUCUCAAAGAGAGGGACGAAACACUCAUUCACCAAUAUCUAGGUCCCUAAGAUAUUACCGCCAAGAUCAUGACCAUGACACUUAUGCACAUGACUAUGGUCACAAUGACAAUGGUAACGUAGGGAUCGAGAACCUUACUGAAGAGAAGUUGCAAAGAAUGAUCGAUCAAGCAAUUCAAGCAAAAAAAGCUACGGAGUAUAGACUCGGCAACAUUGCCCAUCAUACGGGCAAAACUUCCCCAUUUUCCUUCCAGAUUCAACAAGCAGAGCAUUACCCAGAUUUCGAGCCACCAAGUUUCAAAGAAUACAAUGAAGUUGAGGGUGAUCCUUGGCUUCAUAUUUUCGACUUUAAGAAUAAGAUGGUGCUCUUUAGUUAUGAUGAUGCACUCAUGUGCAAGAUGUUUCCUUCCACCUUUGGUAUCAAAACUCUUCGAUGGUUCUCCGACCUUCGACGGGGUUCUAUCCACAACUUCAAUGAUUUCUCUGUCCAAUUUGCCGAAUACUUUAGGUAUAAUUGGCGUCACCGUAAGUAUGUCGUUGUGUUGUUCAACAUCAAGCAAGGAGAUGGAGAACUAUUAAGUAAAUUUGUAGCUCGAUUUAGACCUAUCAGAUCUUUGGAGCCGUUUUUCUGCCAGAAUACGUAUCUCUAGAAGACUUGUCAUAUACCAUUGGAAAGCUAAGGGAGUCCUCUGUCCAAACCAGAAAAUAGAUCGACAUUCAGAUCUCUGAGAAGAAAGUUAUGGCCAAUACAAUACAGACUGUUCAAAUGGAGAUACCGAAAAAACAGAACAACAAUUAUCUCUGGGCAAGUCGGACGAGGAGAUAGCUGGGGGCAUGGUUGUUGGCCAAGAGGAUGGCCUGGAGGGAGACAAGGUUGAAAAGAGUUGGGUAGGGUGCAUGAGUAUAAGAUGAUAAAAUGGUAAGCGAUUUGAUUGCAAGCGUGUGUAGACUUUAACACGGGUGUGAUAUAUGUAAAUCAUGUCUUGAUAUAGACAUAAUCAUUGGAGAUCACAUAUUGAAUAUUAAAAUUAAUGUGACCGGUUGUCGAUCAGAUUGAUAUUGAUGUGAUCAUUAGAGAUCACUCUUGAUAUUAAUGUGAUCAUUAGAGAUCACUCUUGAUAUUGAUAGUGAUGUGAUCAUUGGAGAUCACUCUUGAUAUUGAUAGUGAUGUGAUCACGAGAGAUCACUUUUGAUAUUGAAAUUGAUGUGAUCAUGAGAGAUCACUCUUGAUAUUGAUAUUGAUGUGAUCAUAAAAGAUCACUCUUGAUAUUGAAAGUGAUGUGAUCGUGAGAGAUCACUCUUGAUAUUGAUAUUGAUGUGAUCAUAAGAGAUCACUCUCGAUAUUGAUGCAUACGGCCCCAUGUAGUGAUAGAGGGGUGAACAAAAGUAUCCGAUCAUAAAGACGACACUAUUAAACGUGUGAUGAAGAUAGAUGGUGACGGCCCCAAUUUGUGUGAUAGAGGGGUGAACAAAAGUAUCGAGUUUAAGUUGAAUUAUCAUAUGCUAGUACCACGUCUGGAACCCUUAGCAAUGACAUGAAGUCUUGUUGUGUGACACUAGUUGUGCAAAAUUGUUAGCGUGGAUCUUGAUCUGAUGCAACCCUUAAGUUGACGCCCCCGAGUGGUACUUGAGUUGACGAAUCUUUAAGAUCCCUAACUAGUUGUUGGAAAAAUCUGAGCUUGAAUUCUGAUUUGUCGCAAAUCAUUAGAAUCUCUAACAUUGUCAACCUUAGUUGUUCAAAAAUGGUAAUUUAGAUUCUGAUUUAUUAUAAAUCCUUAAAAUCUCUAAUUAACCCUUUGAACAUUACCUAGUUGAAAGUGUUAGUUGAAAUUUUGAUUUCUUGCAAAUCCUUAGAAUCCCCAGCGUUGUAAAAAAAUUGAUUUAAAAUAGUUGAAGAAAACAACUUCGAAAGAAGUAUAUACGUUUGUGUGACGAACAUGUAAAAAACAGACAAAGUUGAGAAAAUGUGUAAAAUUAAAGUUCCUUUGAACGAUUGAAGUAUACACUGUCAGAAAUAUGUUGUUAUAUUCUUUCUGGUAUAAGAAACAGAUCAAAGAACCAUCAUCUUCUCAAAAUUCGGUUUUUUUUAUAGUUGACGACUUGAUUGUAUGUAGGAGUUUUGUUGUUAUUGUCACCUUGCUUUUGAGAUUGAAUUUGGAGAUAAACUUCUUGUGAUUUGAGUCAUCGUGCUCUUGUUUGGUAAUUGUAUCAUCCUCAAGAUGGAUAUACUUUUGAGCUCUAGAGAAAAGUUUAUACUUGGUGGUCGGAGUGUCAACCACAAUGGAACUAUAUAACCCUUUGUCAUCAUCAUGUAGUAACGCAUCCUUGAAAGCAUAAAAAACAAGUGUAUCUGAAACAUCAGGUAUUUUCGCUUGAGCUUGUCUAAAUCGAGCUACAAAUUUACUUAAUAGCUCUCCAUCUCCUUGCUUAAUGUUGAACAACACAGCGACAUCCUUACGGUGACGCCAAUUAUGCCUAAAGUGUUCGACAAAUUGGACAGAGAAAUAACUGAAGUUGUGGAUAGAACCCCGUGGAAGUUCGGAGAACCAUCGAAGAGCUUUGAUACCAAAGGUGGAAGUUAAACAUCUUGCACAUGAGUGCAUCAUCAUAACUAAAGAGCACCAUCUUGUUCUUGAACUCGAAAAUAUGAAGCCAAGGAUCGCCCUCAACUUCAUUGUAUUCUUUGAAGCUUGGUGGCUCAAAAUCUGGGUGAUGCUCUGCUUCCUGAAUUUGGAAGGAAAAUGGGGAAGUUUGGACCGUAUGAUGGGCAAUGUUGCCGAGUCUAUACUCCGUAGCUUCUUUUGCUUGAAUUGCUUGAUUGAUCAUUCUUUGCAACUUCUCUUCAGUGAGGUUCUCGAUCCCUACGUUACCAUUGUCAUCGUGACCAUAGUCAUGUGCAUAAGUGUCAUGGUCAUGAUUUUGGCGGUAAUGUAUUAGGGACCUAGAUGUUGGUGAACGAGUGUUUCGUCGCCCGCCUUGAGAGUUGUGGUGUGUGCCCCUAUGUCCGGGGGAGGUUUCCCGACGUAAGUGGUGAUGAUUGGGUGUUUGAAUCAAGUCUCUAUUGGAGUAGUACGGAGCAUAACCUUUAGACCAUGACAUGUUUUUGAGACUGCUAGACACACUGCCGUUGGAGAUGGUGUAGUUGGGGGGUCUGUCAUGCUUACUGCCACUGGGCAAGGUCUUGUUGUGAGGCUUGUCACGCUCAUAGCCGCUGGGCAUGGCCUUCUUGUGAGUUUUGUCGCGCUCAUAGCCGCUCGGCAUGGUCGUCUGGUGAGAUUUGUCACGCUCAUAGCCGCUGGGCAUGGUCGUCGGGUGAGUUUUGUCACGAUCAUAGCCGCUGGGCAUGGUCGACGGGUGAGUUUUGUCACGCUCAUAGCCACUGGGCAUGGUCUUCGGGAGAGUUCUGUCACACUCUUAGCCGCUGGGCGCUCUUGUGGCGAGUAUGUUUGCUUUGUCUUGUGCACUAGUUGGGGGUCUUCCACGCAACCUUUUAGAAGCUUUGUGAGUAGUAAAUCCUCCUAGCAAGGUUGUCUUGACUCCUUUGGUGCGAUGGUAAUGUUGGUCCCUUGCUUCAUCUUGACUGAUAACAUGCACCCUAAGGCCCUUGGGGUUUCGGCAUUCAUCUUUUUUCUCCAAGUCAACCGGGGAUUGCUCUUGUGCUGGUAAUACAAUGUCGUCUUCAAUGUCCUCUUCAACUUCCGGGAUGGCUAAAGGUUGAGUCUUUUUCCUUGGAUUUGGAUUGUUUCCCAACCUAUAAAAAACGCUUGAAAAAGAUGGAGUCAACGAACAUUCAUUACCAUUUUGAUUCGCAUGUUUUAACUUCCUCCAUAGACCAUUGUUCCUAUUCUGAAGCCUUUUGAGUUUGCGCCAUAGAUACUCGUUUUCAGAAAUCAUGACUUCUUCAUGUUGAAUAGGCUCCUUGGACUUUGAUGGUGGAGAAGAAGAAGAAGAAAAAACCGAGUGUUCUCCGCCAUUAGAUGGAACCCUCUUGGAAGUGACGGUAUGCUCUCUAGGGUUAGAACCUUGAAAGCGAGCUUGCACAUGUUUUGAACCUUCUUGACGUCCACAAUUACUUGCUUGUUUUGUUGAGAUCUAGUUGUUGCCAUUGAGAAGAAAGAGCUUGAUUCCUUUUGAAAAAUAGGUUUUUUUUUGUGGGUGGAAGAAAACCUCAGUCGGCACCAAAGUGUUUCAACCGGAUUUCACACCAAUGUGAUGUAAGAUCAAGAAGAAACCCCUAAUGUUAAGAUUUAAGGUAUUGGAGAAGAUGAAGAUGAAUGAAUAGGCACUACAAAAAAACAUGACAAUUGCGACGGCCUAAGGCCGUCUUUAAAGAGCAAUUGAAACACAACACAGCCGUCGCGAGACUGACGCAAUAGGUCCCGACGCUAUUGGGGUGUCGUCAAGCAUUAGCCGUCACUAACGGCCGUCGCUACUGCUAACCUUUGCGACAGAUAUAAACCGUCGCAUGUUAGCGGUAGUUUAAAGCCGUCACAAAUGUUGUCGCAAAUUCCAAUGUGGUGUAGAUCUGGUUUUGAUGUUGCGACUGCUUAUGGCUGUCGCUAAUCAUAUUAUUUUUUAUAAAAAAAAAAAAUAUAUUGCAGAUUUUAAUAAAUAAAUAAUUUUACCAAAAUGUUUAUUUAUCAAAAGUAAAAUUUUAUUAACUUCAAUCAAAACAAAUAGACAACUCUGUCAGAUCAUGUAAGGAAACCUCUUAAAGGACAUGCCCUCAAAGAGGAAAAAACCAUACAAACUACAAUGAAUCUUAACAACCAUAAACAAGACUUAUAUAUAUAUAUUAUGUCCCUAUCUUUAGAGUCAUCUUUCAUGCCUGUUGUUGUUGUUUACCAUUCCAUUAAACCAGACCAGCAAGCUUUAGCCAACGUGAGCCUCCAUAUGAACCCAAUCAUGACUUUAAGCAGGUCAUCUAUGUUCCAUGAUUAAUGAAAAAUCUGAAAACAGGGUAUGAAACCUACAAGCUUCAACCAUGGCCAUCCCAUGGAGAACUUUCAUUUUGUCAGAAAACUAAGGAGCGCAAACCAGUUGUUUAAAUUGCCAAAGUCUAGCAAGGCAAAGGUGAUGUGAAACAUAAGACAAUUUAUAUGUUGUUAAUAUGUUGAUGCCAAUACUGACCACAUGUACAAAACAUAUAAUUCGGACAAUACCACCUACAAAGAAGCAAAAAAGAACUAGCCAAAAAGUAGAUACUUGAGAACAUCAACGUUUAAGCGAUGCAAAACAUAGCCAAAUCAAGCAAGACACAUUAUUACCAAAACUGAAAAAGUACAUGAAAGUCUACGUAUAAAGAAACAGUAUAAACAUACCCAUAGAUGGCUUUCAUUGAGAAUAUCUGGAACUUUGAGAAUUUCUCACAACAUUUUUGCUGAUAAUUUCCCUACAAAUCCCACAAAUUUGAUGGUGAAGUUACUCCCCACAUAUCUACUUGAAGAAUCCCCUGCAAAUGAAAAAAAGGUAUAUGGAUCACAAGUUUAUUCUUUUACAUACUUCUGAGAUUGUCCAUAUAGAUAUAUUCUGGACAACAGUACCAUAUAGUGCAAAUCAUAUAUAAGUGCUACAAAAUUUGAUAUUUGUGUUUUUAAGUUAAGAUCAGAAAUUAACAAACCUUGCUCACAGGGCUCUCUUGGUAUGUCAAAUAAGGACCUUAUUUUUGUUUAGCUAUUGGGCCUACACUUUCACAAGAUAAAAAAAAAAACUCUUAAAAUUGUUCGGUUGGACUUCAAUAAGUAGAAAAAGAAAUUAACACUUGAAAUUUGCCAAACCUCUGGUGAAUCUAAUAGCAUGCCAAGAAGAAUGAAAACAUCAACAAGACCUUGCACUCCGGCCUAUUUGAAUUCUUUGUCGUUGAAACAGGAUAGUAAUUAACAUCAAUGAUUUUAUUGUUGGAAUUAAUUUUGAAAAUAUCUAGCCUAUCCUAGAAAGUUCUAUUGUUAAUGAAGUAAGUUGUGUUUAGCUGUGUUCUAGGAACUUAGGAAGUAGUUAGUUGCUGCAUUUAUUAAUGUCUCUAGGAUGUUCUAAACUCUUAGUAUAAAUAGAGUAUGUACUCUCUUGUAAGCAAGAAGAAACCAAGUAAUAAAAAUUAUCUCCUCCAUUAAGCAUCUCUGUUCUUUCUUGCCACUAUCUCAAAACCUAUCAUUUAUUAAGGUCUGCAGUAACUAUGUAAUAACCUGUUAUCACACUAUAAAACCUAUUGUAAAUCCACUUGAUGAUGAUAACAACAUUAAAAACAAAGUAUACAAAUAUACAUGCACAGUUACUACUCUUCCUCUAAUGUAAGUACUUGUGAGAAGAUAACAUGAUUAUAAUUGAACCUAUUUAAUGACAAACCUCUUCAAGAUUGUCCAAGGAAAUACCGACUUCCAGAACCAGGGCUUCCAAUCAGCUUAGCUGGGUGGGAUACAAUUCUGCACAUGCUGCACAAUCCAAGUGAGCAUGUCAGAGGAAUAAAAGACAUGUCGCAAACUGUCAAAGUUACUUAAACUAGUAUAGGAGAUAUAGGUACAUGCAAGAGUUCAAGAAGCCAUUUUUGAAUAUAAAUUAAUCCAUACUAUUUAGUAUGGUGCUCCUUAAACAAUUCAAGGCCAUAUCAUAGUUCUCCCAACUCUGGAACGUAUAUAACUUAAUCUUGGCUCAAUUCUAAAAUCACUAUGAAAGUUCGUCCAGAAAACCAUGUUCCAGAUUAAGUUCUUCAACAAUCCAAAUUAACAAACCAUAAUAUUCCUUCAAAAAUUAGGAAAAAAAAAAAGGCUAAAUAUAUAAUACCAACAUGGCGACGAACAACAAAAACGAUUCUUUAUUUUCCCCUCUUUUCUUUAUAUAUUACAAUUGAUUGAAACAAAAAAAAAAAUACCCAAUUAUAAACUCUCUCUCUCUCUCUCUCUCUCUCUCCACAGUAGAGCAACAACAAACGUUUUCAUGCCCAACAACCACAACUUCAUAGAAAAUUAAACAUUUACUUUUCAUAAUUCAUUUAAGCGUUCCCAUUACAAUUGUUGUGGAAAAGUAAUAACUAAAACCUAAACUUUGAGAGCAAUUGAUUUGCUUACCUUACCACCUUUUCAAAUGCCUUCAACUUUAGAUUACAGUACCUAGCAAACUGAAUUCACAUUAAUAAAUCGAUUCCAAAUAAUAAUGAAAAAAGCUAACAAAAUUAAUUAAUUUGAAGCAAUUAAACUUCUAAAAACCCUAAUCCCAAAUUAGCAUAAGAGAAGGUGGGUCAUAAGAAGAAAGAGACCAUAUCGAGAGAAAUUGAGAGAUGAUAUGAAAAGAAAGACAUACCUCGGUUCUUUCCAUCUUACCCAACGAGAACAUUGUUCUCAUUGUUUUUGGCACUGCUAUGAAAUUAUGGAGAAAGUUAAAGAAGGAAGCAAAAAUUUAAACAACGCCUUAAAUUUUUUGUUUUGGUUCUUAAAUUUUGACGAAAUUUUGUUAGAGUUUUAAAACCACUUGGACGAAUGAAUUAGAAAGACCGACGCUGGUAAAGAGGAGUGCCAUUUCCGACAGCUUCAAAAAAAGUAGCGACGACUUUAAACCCUCGCAAAUCUGAUAACAAAUAUUGUUUCAGAAUAUCAAAUUUUAGCGACGACUCAAUUUUAAAUAGCGAGAUCCGUUGGCCGUCGAUAGUACUGCGAGAUCCGUAGGCCGUCGCUGAUCUCCCGUGGUAGCCGUCCCAAUUUGCUAUUUUUCUUCUAGUGAGGGUUUUGGUGAUUUAUAAUGGCUGCACAAAGUUGCUUCUUAGUUGCCUACGUAUCCAUA